UGCCUAUAUCUCUCAAUUGAAAAUAGUUAUAUUAUAUUAUAUUAUAUUAUAUCAUAUUAUAUUAUAUAUAUUAAUAUUAACAGGAAAAAAAACAAAUAAUCACAGACAAAAAUUAAUAGAAACCAUUAAAAAUCAGGCGUUUAAAAGUCCACGAACAACAGCUCUGUUCAAAUAAUUUUUCUGCUUGGUUAAGACGUGUUUAUUAGUUUAUAUUAAUUAUUAUAAAAUAAUAAUAAUAAUAAUAAUAAUAAUAAUAAUAAUAAUAAUAAUAAUAAUAAUAAUAAUAAUAAUAAUAACCUGUACAUUUUUGUUUCGAUAUUAGCAGCCCAUUUUACAGGGACUGGUAUGACAGACAAUCUAUUUAAUUUAAGGUUAAUUAAAUGCUGAAUUUGAAUUAUAUUCAACAAGAACAAGAAAAUGUAUAAUAAUUGAUGGGUUUUUGAUGUAAAAUUUUUAUUUGAUUUGCUUAUUUAUGGAAAAUGUAUGAGUCUCCAAUGCCACAGGAUUAUUCUCUGUAUUUCUCAGUAUUUUUUCCCACUUUAAAGGGAAACACAAAGAAGUCGGUGAGGGAACAGCUGUUUCUAGCUGUUAUAACAUAAGCGAUAACAAGAAGUAACGUGUCUCAAUGAAGUUCCACAGCAAUACGUUAAAACUCUGAACUGGAUAAAAUGCACUGGCAUAUUGCUAUAGUCUAAGAGGAGAAACGUCAGUAAAAGUCGAAACAAUUUACAAAGACAAUACUCUAGUCAACCCCCCUGGCGUCACCUGCAGGACCUUCGCAUCUGCCCUGACUGCACCUACAUCUCACAGCCAGGAUUCCCCUACUCCUUCAUUGUCACAUUUCUUAACCAUAGCAGCAGAAGAGAUUUUGAGAUGGAGAUACCACAGCUUCUGCUCGGAUCUCAGCGUGUCUGGCGGACGUAUCGUCGUGGAUGACGGCUCAUCGGUUGAAGCUCAAUCCUAGCAAAACUAAACUGCUGAUCAUCAGGUGAUUCAUCCCCAGGUCAUGAUUUUGCAAUAUCCCUGCACAAUGAUUUGAUCUCCCCUUCAGUCACAGCUUGCAACCUUGGGGCUGCUCAGGUACUUGUGAAGUCUCUUGUCAUUUCAAGACUGGAUUACUGCAACUCCCUCUUGUCAGGUCUACCUAUGAACCUGCCUAUGUUCCCCACACCACCUCAAUGCUGCUCUCCUCCACUGGUUCCUGUAGCUGAACACAUCAGAUUCAAAACACUGAUGCUUGCCUACAAAGCCAAAAACAGCCCAGCCUCAUCUCACCUCAAAGCCUUCAUCAUCGCUCCCUCAGAUCUACCAGCAAUGCUUCACUGGUCCCACCAUCUCUCAGAGUAAGAGGGAGGUUAUACAUCAUGACUCUUCUGUUCUGGCACCGAGGUGGUGGAAAGAACUUCCCCUAGGGGCUCGGAAAGCUGAGUCACUGGAUAUCUUCAGACGAUGGUUGAAGACCUACUUCUUCAUGAAAUACUUGAACUAGCGCUUU